AGAGUUUGAUCCUGGCUCAGAACGAACGCUGGCGGCGUGCCUAACACAUGCAAGUCGUACGAGAAAAUCCGCUUCGGCGGGUGAGUAAAGUGGCGCACGGGUGAGUAACGCGUGGAUAAUCUGCCUUUAAGCGGGGAAUAACUUACCGAAAGGUGGGCUAAUACCCCAUAAAGCUAUGGAGCUCCGGUUUUCAUAGCCAAAGAGAGCCUCUGCAUGCAAGCCCUCACUUAGAGAUGAGUCCGCGUACCAUUAGCUAGUUGGUGGGGUAAUGGCCUACCAAGGCGACGAUGGUUAGCUGGUCUGAGAGGAUGAUCAGCCACACUGGAACUGAGACACGGUCCAGACUCCUACGGGAGGCAGCAGUGGGGAAUCUUCCGCAAUGGGCGAAAGCCUGACGGAGCAACGCCGCGUGAGUGAUUAAGGCCUUCGGGUUGUAAAACUCUGUCAUCAGGGAAGAAAAUAAUGACGGUACCUGAGGAGGAAGCCCCGGCUAACUACGUGCCAGCAGCCGCGGUAAAACGUAGGGGGCGAGCGUUGUCCGGAAUUACUGGGCGUAAAGGGCGCGUAGGCGGUUGUCCAAGUCAGAGGUGGAAACUCUGGGCUCAACUCAGAGCGUGCCUCUGAAACUGGGCGACUUGAGGGCAGGAGAGGGGAGUGGAAUUCCCAGUGUAGCGGUGAAAUGCGUAGAUAUUGGGAGGAACACCAGUGGCGAAGGCGACUCUCUGGCCUGUUUCUGACGCUGAGGCGCGAAAGCGUGGGGAGCGAACGGGAUUAGAUACCCCGGUAGUCCACGCCGUAAACGAUGGA
rnacentral:rRNA from 1 species